AAUUAUAAAGAUUCCCAAACUUAAAAAUUUCAAAUUUUAGUUGCUCAAAGUUCAACCUCGUGUUAAUGAAAUCCUAAUUCUAUCCCUGUUUGUGAACCGAACACCAAAGUACCAUUUGAAGUUACAAGUCAAUGCAAUGAAUCCACCGUUAAAUUGUCGGGAUAAAAGAAACAAAAGAUUUUUUCGCAAACUACUCCGAACACCAACAAAUUACUCGGAAAACAGACCAUGUAGUUCGUUUUGAAAUUUUGAAUUUGAAAAUACUGAUCAUUAACAGUAUUGCCUAAAAGAAAUAUUACUUGCACAUUUCAAUGUCGAAUAAUAAAAUUUACAUUUCGGGAUGAAACAUUGUAUAUGAUGAACAAAUCUGAUGAUUCAACACAGUGUACAAGAAAUAUAACUUACACAUAACAUUGUCAAUGAUAAAUUUACAGGACAAAAACACUGGAAAACAUGAAUACUGAGUACAGACACACCAAUAAUGCCCCAAUAAUAUACACCCGUCUUUUGCAUAUGCCAUUCAUAAUAUAUACCGUUUUUCAGCAUACAUAACUUGCGUUAAGUACAGAAUACUAACCCAAUUCAAGACUAAUAGAACGAAUAUCAUUUCCAGAAAAUACUAAUUCCUGUAACAAACUCAUACAGACUCAAUUCAAUGAAAUAUAGUUAAAAAAAACUCUAUUUGAGUCACUGGAGUGAUUCAAGUUGCAAAAAGAAUCAAUAUAUCCCUAACCAAUUCAAUUCAAACGUCAGUAACAAUUACCGACCACAAAUCGACACAAUUUAGGUGACAAUAGCUGUUGCCAAACUGAUAAUAUACUCGAUUCAUGCGGCAAAAGCAAUUGUCAAACCCAAAAUCUACUCGAUUUAGGUGGCAGUAGCAGUUACCGAAAUUUCUUAUCUUGGGCGCACAUAUCAUUAAACACAG